UUUCAGUCGCAAUAUUGCAGCAAGCAAAGCAACAUGUGGGAUCGCGAGAAAACGAUAAAAUUAAUUGAUUUGUACAAGAAUUAUUCUGUUUUAUGGGAUGUCUCGUCACCAGAUUAUAAAAAUAAGCAUAAAAAGCAAAAAGCUUAUCGCGAAAUUGCUGAAAAAUUAGACAAAAGUGAUGAUGAAAUAAAAACAAAAAUUCAUAAUUUACGCACUCAAUUUUUGCAAGAGGUGCGCAGAGUAAAGCAAAAAAAGAGUGGCCAGGUUACAUCAGACAUCUAUACCAGCAAAUGGGAGUUUUUCGAUGCGCUUAAAUUUAUUAAAAAUGACGACGGAAAUAAUUAUAAAAUUAAAAAUUUGGCGAAACAAAAAAUCCAAAGUACAUCCAAAGCAAAAAAAAGAAAUCGUGACGAGAUAGAAUUUAAGGACGAAGAUCGGCUUAUUAAAAAGGCAAGCGCUUUACUCGAUAAGCCAGCGGAUGACCAUCAGGUGUUCGGAGAUUUCGUUGCAUCUGAGCUCAGAUUGUUGAAAUCACACCAAAAUAGACUUGUGCUUCGCAGAAAAAUUCAAAGAGCUAUUUUGGAAGUAUCGGAAAUUGAAAGCGAGGGCACUUCUACUUGUUCCACACCUAAUAUCGUGUACUCGUCUACCAAUUCUCCAGUUGUUGGCUUUUAAGAUGGUAAAAAAGAAAAUAAUUUACAUACUUACUUUAAGAUAUUCCCUUUUGAGGCAUUCAUAUACAGCUCGACAACACUUUGUCACAAUGCUUGCAACCGUACUCACAGGAAUGCGAAAAAGAAAGAUCAGAGAAUGAUAUGAAUCAACUGUAAAAAAUUAAAUGACAUCAAUAAACAUAUUAAUUAAAAGUA